rnacentral:rRNA from 1 species
UAAACGACUCUCGGCAACGGAUAUCUCGGCUCUCGCAUCGAUGAAGAAUGUAGCGAAAUGCGAUACUUGGUGUGAAUUGCAGAAUCCCGUGAACCAUCGAGUCUUUGAACGCAAGUUGCGCCCGAGGCCUCCUGGUCGAGGGCACGUCUGCCUGGGUGUCACGC